rnacentral:lncRNA from 1 species
AGGGUCUUGCUGUGUAGUGCAGGCUGGCCUUGAACUCGUGGCGAUCCUCCGGCCUUGGCCUCCAGAGUUCUGGGAUUGCAGGCCUGCACCAUGCCCGCCUUACAUCAGUGAUCCUGUGGAAUACAGGGUCAGGGGGUGUGAGCCUUUGGCUGCUUUGGUUGUGUGGAAAGUCCUGGACCAGCCUCUUGGCUUGCGUGGGGGAUGUCUGCACUGUUCUCCUUCGGAAGUGUGUGAAGAAUUGAAGAAAGAAUUCAUCCUUGAAGACAACUUCAGUUUGGUCAGGGCCUUAAUUGAUACAGUAUCUCGGACAUGCCAGAAGAUGGAAGUUAAUAGCUGUGCUUAGGGCUCCAACUUUCCCAGUAAGAACUGCUUUCUUUGCAUUUCACAAAUGUCGAGUGAAGUGCUGGGCGUGGUGGCAAACAACUGUUAUCCCAGCACCUGGGAGGCCGAGAAGGAGGAUCACAAGUUCAAGGCCAGCCUGGACAUCAAGACAAGACCCUGUCUCAAAAAACCAAAACCAAAACAAACUUUGUGUGUGUUAUGUUUUUAUUUCAGU